rnacentral:tRNA from 1 species
UAGCUCAGCGGUGCAGCACCUGCCUGCCAAGCAGGAAGUCCUGAGUUUGAUUCCCAG